UACAGAGGUCCCAAGCGUUGUUCGGAUUCACUGGGCGUAAAGGGUGCGUAGGUGGCCAGGUAAGUUUGAUGUGAAAGCUCGGAGCUUAACUCCGAAAUGGCAUUGAAUACUAUCUGGCUUGAGGGUCGGAGGGGAGACUGGAAUUCUCGGUGUAGCAGUGAAAUGCGUAGAUAUCGAGAGGAACACCAGUGGCGAAGGCGGCUCACUGGCUCGACACUGACGCUGAGGUGCGAAAGCGUGGGGAGCAAACAGG
rnacentral:rRNA from 1 species